GGAUGGAUCAACGCCGCCAAGUGGGGAAAGCGCGAAUGCAGUCCCCCACUACAACAAAUUAUGCAGUCGAGUUUUCCACAUUUGGGAAUAUCACAGGGGUCAGCACAUCCGGAGUGCAAUCGAUGAGCCCCACGCUGGGAAAAACCACCUUCGUGAUCAUGGUAUCUUCCCUGCCAGAGAGAAACCAAUCAGCUUCAUUUUCAACUUCUUCUAUGACUCCAGAGGAUUCACUUUGCAUCUUGUGACAAAUGAAUAUAUUACCUGAAAAAAAAAUGACAGGAUAGAUGAGUUGCUGCACAGGGGGAAAGCGAAGUUCCCAGGAGUAAGAUGUGCAAGAAGCGGGCAGCCUUGCAUCUCAGGGCUGAGUUCCCUCAACUGUGUGCUUGAGGGAAGUUCUCCCCUUGCAGACACACUGCUGAGUGAUAAGGAAGCACCUAGACUCCACUCUGACCAGACUUGGUUCUGAGGCCUAUGAAAUGUUGAUGGGAAGAACAGAAGCAGGAAAAUCUAUCUAUUCAAAUUUGCAAGACGUGGAAACUUUUAUUCACCUUCCUGGUUAGACUGUUCCUUUGUCAAAGUAAAGCUAAGGCCAUGGAAAAUGAGCUAUUUGAGAGUUUGUCGCUCCAAGGAAGAACAUGCUGGCCUAAUUGUCCCCCAAGUCAGGAGAGAGAAUUGUAAAAAACACUUAAACAGGCCUAAGUAAAGGUCCAGCACAUUAUUUAUUUAAGACUGAAUUAGAACUGAGUCAUUCCGACUCUGAAAAAAGAGUGUUGUUGGAUUCUUAUGUAUUUAAUGGGUCUGCCCUAUUGAAAACCAUUGUGAAGUAUGGUUUCCCAAGCAAGAAAUGACACUUUCACUGUCAGUCUUUCUAGGAGUCUGGCAGAAUCCAGGACCGGGAUUACCCUUAUUUAUGAAGCGACCUUAGACUAACAGUGGCUCUCUGGGUCUCCAGACAAUUGGCCAGGGACUCUAAAAACCAGAAACAAAGUUGAGAGAACUCCAUGCUGGUGGAGAAAAACAGCUGGCCUUUAUCACCAGAAUGUGCCCCAUAGAAGCAGCAAAGCAGCAAGCGACGUUCUUAAACAAGGGCCUGUGGGCCUCGUCAAGAUCUGGAGGAAUCAUCUACGACUCACUGCUGAGUGAGAGGGCUAGGCAGUGUCUUUAAGGUCCUGCCAGCUUUAACAUUGUAUGCUUUUUCUUUUGUUCAAUCUCUCACCACAACUGGAAGUGUUGCCUCAACUACACAGGAGAAAGUUUGCAGUAACUUAGAGAAAACAUUAUUUUAAUCACCAGUGUAUGUUCUCCUGCUCCCUGGACAAAUCCAUCAGCAGCGGCAACACUGACCAGGUCCAGAUUGGGGCCGCUGCGGUGGAUGUGAAUCCAUUGAAACUAGGGGUCUCCAGUGCUCCUGA
ensembl:lncRNA WEE2-AS1 WEE2 antisense RNA 1